rnacentral:lncRNA from 1 species
UUGCAGGAAAAUACAGAUUCGUAACUGCAGAAUUCAUUGCAGGCUGCAACUUGAAAGCCUCUCGUUCCCACGGCGGCCUUCACAUCCACCAAAACUUUUAACUUCUUAGCUCUGCUGCAGUAGACCUAUACAAGAAUUUUGAUUCGAAAUAAUUAACAUUACUUACAAUUAACGAAACAUCGACGAAAAAAUAAAUCAUUUAAAAAGAAAAAGGCAGCUAGAGUUGGAUGGAGGGAGCUCCCUUCAGUCCAAGACACGACAGCCAUGACAGAACAUAGCUCCUGCUUCGUUGGAUCAAAAACACAUCUCAUUCACUGCUUACCAUAUGAUGAGCUCUUGAACCAACGACUCAGCAGCUAAGUUUCAGGCUUCAACUGCCUUGGACUGGACAGAAGAGAGCUCCUUCUUUCCAUGUAAUACUCAUACACAGACAGACUGCAAGCAAUUUUCCACAACUUCUUAUGGCCACCGUAGGAGAUGAGGCUUAAGCAGCAAGCGGACGAGGAAGAAAAGAG